rnacentral:rRNA from 1 species
CCACACUGGAACUGAGACACGGUCCAGACUCCUACGGGAGGCAGCAGUGAGGAAUCUUCCACAAUGGGCGAAAGCCUGAUGGAGCAACGCCGCGUGAAGGAUGAAGGCCUUCGGGUUGUAAACUUCUUUUAUGAGUGAAGAAUAUGACGGUAACUCAUGAAUAAGCACCGGCUAACUACGUGCCAGCAGCCGCGGUCAUACGUAGGGUGCAAGCAUUAUCCGGAGUGACUGGGCGUAAAGAGUUGCGUAGGCGGUUUAAUAAGUGAAUAGUGAAACCUGGUGGCUCAACCAUACAGACUAUUAUUCAAACUGUUAAACUCGAGAAUGGUAGAGGUAACUGGAAUUUCUUGUGUAGGAGUGAAAUCCGUAGAUAUAAGAAGGAACACCAAUGGCGUAGGCAGGUUACUGGGCCAUUUCUGACGCUAAGGCACGAAAGCGUGGGGAGCGAACAGGAUUAGAUACCCGGGUAGUCCACGCCGUAAACGAUGGAUACUAGCUGUUGGAGGUAUCGACCCCUUCAGUAGCGAAGCUAACGCGUUAAGUAUCCCGCCUGUGGAGUACGGCCGCAAGGCUAAAACAUAAAGGAAUUGACGGGGACCCGCACAAGCGGUGGAUUAUGUUCUUUAAUUCGAUGAUAACCGAAGAACCUUACCAGGGCUUGACAUCCAGGGAAGGUCUGCGAAAGUAGACUGUGCCUUUUGGAACCCUGUGACAGGUGAUGCAUGGCCGUCGUCAGCUCGUGUCGUGAGAUGUUAGGUUAAGUCCUUCAACGAGCGCAACCCUUGUGAAUAGUUGUAUUUUUCUAUUCAGACUGCCCCGGUAACGGGGAGGAAGGAGGGGAUGAUGUCAGGUCAGUAUUUCCCUUACGUCCUGGGCUAGAAACGUAAUACAAUGGCUAGUACAAUGCGCAGCGAAGCCGCGAGGUGAAGCAAAUCGCAUCAAAGCUAGUCCCAGUUCGGAUUGCAGGCUGAAACUCGCCUGCAUGAAGUCGGAAUCGCUAGUAAUA